UCCCGGGCCUUGUACACACGCCCGUCAAGCCAUGGAAGCUGGGGGUGCCUGAAGUUCGUGACCGGAAGGAGCGACCUAGGGCAAAACCGGUGACUGGGGCUAAGUCGUAACAAGGUAUC
rnacentral:rRNA from 1 species